UUCUUUAACACAUAAUGCACAACAAUCAUGAGCGAACACAAAGUUCCAAGUACGCUCAAUGAUGCAGGUUUAAGUUCUUUGGCUUUGCGGUAAAAGUAAAGACAUGCGGUGUGUGCAGUUUUAGUUGGUGUCCACUUGACUGAUUUGUCACUCACUUUCUGACCCAGGUCUGUUCUCUCUUCCUUUUUGCUGAUCUCAGAGACGCAGCCCGAUGAAGAGAAAUUUGUCAUGUGAAGAGAUUGCCAGACCAAGACACUCCACACCUACUUCAAAUCCUGUUCCUGACACAUCAAG